rnacentral:misc_RNA from 1 species
GUGAAUCAUCGAAUUUUUGAACGCAAAUUGCACUCUCUUCGGUGAGUAUGCGUGUUUGAGGGUGAGCCUAUAAAAAUCGACAUCGUCGCUGUUUCGCGGAGGCGUUCGUCUGACAUUGGGUCAUCUUAAAUCCUUUUGAUUUUAGCGACUUAUAAUAUUCUUCUUGUUUCGAUGAACUUUUCUAAGAUUUAUUUCUUUAAAUGUUUAAUGCAUCGUU